rnacentral:lncRNA from 1 species
UGACUGUAAUAUUUACAUUGUAAGCAUUUAGCUGUAUUGACUUACGCUAACUAUAAUAUUUAUAGAUCUCGAGUUUGUUUUUACUAACUUGAGUUUUGUCUAUUUUCAGGCAAAUCGGCAGCGGAGUCGAAGCAUGGCUUCCCUGAAAGAGAUAUUUUCAAAGGUGAAUUGUCUCCUUACACCAGGCUGCCUUUGUCCGAUCCUUGGAAAUAAAAACCUUUGGUUCCAUAGAUUUAGAGAAAAGAUACUUUUACUAGGAAAGAACUGAAUGCAACUUAAAUCAGGUACUGCAUGCUGUGCACCAGUAAUCCAUGAAUCAGACCUCCUUACUGGAUGUAGUGAUGUUCAGACAACUCUGCGGACCAUGAAAUACAUGCAGUUGGCCAACUUGACAGGCAUUCCAGCCCUAGUGGUACCAGUUGGAUAUACAAUUUCAGGGCUUCCCAUCAGUUUACAUAUGAUGACUAAGUGGUGGAAUGAAGCGUUGCUGUUCCAAAUAGGCCUGAAACUGGAGCAAUUUCAUGGUACACUAGCAAAACCAAUAAUUUACUAUGAUAUUCUGAGAUAAUAUGGCUAGCUUCAAAAUUCCAAUACAGUUGUUUGUUUAACGUAUAAAUGGCUUAAGGGAUGAGUUAGAAAGGUCUUCAGGACAGAUUCACAAGCUCCCAUUAAAAAAUGCAAACAAAAUUAAAUUGGAAUGAAACGAUUAACUUACUAAAGGAUAUACAGUGCUGUAGGUGUCUGCAGUGUUUAGAGUUUAUAUUGAUACGAAUUGUUUAUAAACAUCCCGAUAAUGCAGAUUUUACGAUUGAGCAGAUUCUAUUCAGAUACAAUUUGUUUGAAUGCGUUUUAAAUACUGUAUGUGACAUUUGCAUUCAGUAUGUAUAUAUGGUAUUCUUGAUGUUUCUUGCAUGGAAAAUUUCUUAGAAAGGUGAUGGGCAUUUACAGAUUUUUUUUAAACCUAACUCUGACAAAACUCUAACAAUAUAUACCCUCUAGUGAUAUUGCACAAUUGUAUUUCUUUAUAGUUCAGCAGAAUGUUAAUUUCUUGUGUCAAAAUGAAAGCAAAUCAUUUCACCAGUUCCUACAGGCUUGAGCAUCCAUGUUCCUUUUCAAAGUGACAGAAAGCAAUUGAUUCAGAAAAUAUGAUGGCAUUGGCAUCACCAUCAUUAAUACAAUAUUUCAUGCAAUGAAUUUGUUCACUUAUCCGAGUUUGUGAUAAAAUUAAUACAAUAUUCAGAAAACUCUGGAAUGUUGAUUGGUGUGGCAGUUUUCCAAAGAUUAAUAUUCGAAACUUGAAGUUUGGGCAUGCCUC